CUAUGCAUGCAAGUCGUGCGGACCUUUUAAAAGCUUGCUUUUAAAAGGUUAGCGGCGGACGGGUGAGUAACACGUGGGCAACCUGCCUGUAAGAUCGGGAUAACGCCGGGAAACCGGGGCUAAUACCGGAUAGUUUUUUCCUCCGCAUGGAGGAAAAAGGAAAGACGGCUUUUGCUGUCACUUACAGAUGGGCCCGCGGCGCAUUAGCUAGUUGGUGGGGUAACGGCUCACCAAGGCAACGAUGCGUAGCCGACCUGAGAGGGUGAUCGGCCACAUUGGGACUGAGACACGGCCCAAACUCCUACGGGAGGCAGCAGUAGGGAAUCUUCCGCAAUGGACGAAAGUCUGACGGAGCAACGCCGCGUGAGUGAAGAAGGCCUUCGGGUCGUAAAACUCUGUUGCCGGGGAAGAACAAGUGCCGUUCGAACAGGGCGGCGCCUUGACGGUACCCGGCCAGAAAGCCACGGCUAACUACGUGCCAGCAGCCGCGGUAAUACGUAGGUGGCAAGCGUUGUCCGGAAUUAUUGGGCGUAAAGCGCG
rnacentral:rRNA from 2 species